UUGGGGAUAUUAAGGUUAAGUAUGGGAGCUUCUAACUCUCUUUACGGGCAGUUCGAUUCUGUUCAUCCCUUAU
rnacentral:tRNA from 1 species